UACGUAGGUGGCAAGCGUUGUCCGGAUUUACUGGGCGUAAAGAGCGCGCAGGCGGUCAAGUCAGUCGAAUGUGAAAGCCCCCGGCUCAACUGGGGAGGGUCAUUCGAUACUGCUCGACUUGAAGGCAGGAGAGGGAAGUGGAAUUCCCGGUGUAGUGGUGAAAUGCGUAGAUAUCGGGAGGAACACCAGUGGCGAAGGCGGCUUUCUGGCCUGUUCUUGACGCUGAGGCGCGAAAGCUAGGGGAGCAAACGGG
rnacentral:rRNA from 1 species